rnacentral:rRNA from 1 species
GACCGCCUGGGGAGUACGGCCGCAAGGUUAAAACUCAAAUGAAUUGACGGGGGCCCGCACAAGCGGUGGAGCAUGUGGUUUAAUUCGAUGCAACGCGAAGAACCUUACCUACACUUGACAUCCAGAGAAGUUUCUAGAGAUAGAUUGGUGCCUUCGGGAACUCUGAGACAGGUGCUGCAUGGCUGUCGUCAGCUCGUGUUGUGAGAUGUUGGGUUAAGUCCCGCAACGAGCGCACCCCCUAUCCUUAGUUGCCAGCGAUUCGGUCGGGAACUCUAAGGAGACUGCCGGUGAUAAACCGGAGGAAGGUGGGGACGACGGCA